AACUCUCAAACCGCAUCUUCAUUGAUGUCGGGCUUGGAUUUGGACGUUGCUGGACAUGAGUUCGGCUCGUCUUGAACGCAUUAGCUGACGAUUUCGACUUCAGUUAAACCGUGUGAUAAUACAUCAACGCGGGCAGCCGUAAGGCGCUGGGUCGUCUCCCGAAGGCUUCCAAUCGUCCCGUCCGGGACUGUCCUUACGGGCAUUUCAUUUCAC
rnacentral:misc_RNA from 1 species